rnacentral:rRNA from 1 species
GGGCAAGUCUGGUGCCAGCAGCCGCGGUAAUUCCAGCUCCAAUAGCGUAUAUUAAAGUUGUUGCAGUUAAAAAGCUCGUAGUUGAAUUUCGGGACUAAUAUGUCGGUCGUACUUUGUACGUACUAGCAUUAUUGGUUUCGCCCUUCUGACGAACCACGAUGUCAUUAAUUUGGUGUCGCGGGAAAUCAGGACUGUUACUUUGAAAAAAUUAGAGUGUUUAAAGCAAGCUCGCGCUUGAAUACAUUAGCAUGGAAUAAUGAAAUAGGACGUUUGAUUCUAUUUUGUUGGUUUCUAGGAUCGACGUAAUGAUUAAUAGGGAUAGUUGGGGGCAUUAGUAUUCAAUUGUCAGAGGUGAAAUUCUUGGAUCUAUUGAAGACUAACUACUGCGAAAGCAUUUGCCAAGGAUGUUUUCAUUAAUCAAGAACGGAAGUUAGGGGAUCGAAGACGAUCAGAUACCGUCGUAGUCUUAACCAUAAACUAUGCCGACUAGGGAUCGGAUGAUGUUAAUUUUUUAAUGACUCAUUCGGCGCCUUACGGGAAAC